rnacentral:rRNA from 1 species
GACGAACGCUGGCGGCGUGCUUAACACAUGCAAGUCGAGCGGAGCGGCGAACGGGUGAGUAACGCGUGAGUAACUGCCCCCCUCUCUGGGAUACCAGUUGGAAACGGCUGCUAAUACCGGAUAGUGGGGGAUGGCUCGCGUCCUACCAGCUUGUUGGUGGGGUAGUGGUCUACCAAGGCGACGACGGGUAGCCGGCCUGAGAGGGCGACCGGCCACAGUGGGCAGGGAUACGGCCCAAACUCAUACGGGGGGCAGGAGUGGGGGAUAUUGCACACUGGGGGGAACCAUGAUGCAGCGACGCCGGGUGGGAGAUCACGGUCUUCGGGUUGUAAAACGCUUUCAGCCAUGAGGGGGUAGUGGCAGAAAAAGCACCGGCUAACUACGUGCCAGCAGCGGGGGUAUAC